GACGAACGCUGGCGGCGUGCUUAACACAUGCAAGUCGAACGGAAAGGCCCUGCUUUUGUUGGGUGCUCGAGUGGCGAACGGGUGAGUAACACGUGAGUAACCUGCCCUUGACUUUGGGAUAACUUCAGGAAACUGGGGCUCAUACCGGAUAUGAGCUCCUGCUGCAUGGUGGGGGUUGGAAAGUUUCGGCUGUUGGGGAUGGACUCGCGGCUUAUCAGCUUGUUGGUGGAGUAGUGGCUUACCAAGGCUUUGACGGGUAGCCGGCCUGAGAGGGUGACCGGCGACAUAGGGACUGAGAGACGGCCCAGACUCCUACGGGAGGCAGCAGUGGGGAAUAUUGAACAAUGGGCGGAAGGCUGAUGCAGCAACGCCUCGGGCGGGAUGACGGCCUUCGGGUUGUAAACCGCUUUCGCCUGUGACGAAGCGUGAGUGACGGUAAUGGGUAAAGAAGCACCGGCUAACUAAGUG
rnacentral:rRNA from 1 species